CUGCCAGUGACCAAGUUCAACGGCCGCGGUAUCCUAACCGUGCGAAGGUAGCGUAAUCACUUGUUCUUUAAAUGAGGACUAGUAUGAAUGGCACCACGAGGGCUAUACUGUCUCCUUUUUCUAAUCAAUGAAACUGAUCCCCCCGUGAAGAAGCGGGGAUAAACAUAUAAGACGAGAAGACCCUAUGGAGCUUUAAACAAAAUAGCACUGGCCCCCCUCUUCCUACCUUCCAGAAACAUAACACCAAUACUGGCCAAAAUGACUAUUAGUUUUAGGUUGGGGUGACCACGGAGCAAAAAUUAACCUCCACAUUGAACGGAAAUACUCCUGAGCCAAAAGCUACGACUUUAAGCACCAAUAAACUGACAUUAAUUGACCCAAUAUUUUGAUCAACGAACCAAGUUACCCUAGGGAUAACAGCGCAAUCCAUUUCAAGAGCUCCUAUCGACAAAUGGGUUUACGACCUCGAUGUUGGAUCAGGGUACCCCAGUGG
rnacentral:rRNA from 1 species